rnacentral:tRNA from 1 species
GCCGCCAUAGCUCAGUUGGUAGAGCAUUCGCCUAGAUACCGAAAGGCUUCCAUUUCAAGCCUGAGUGGAGGCA